rnacentral:lncRNA from 1 species
AGAAGCUCCUAUACUCAGGACCUUCCCAGACUUCCCCCAAGUGUCUCUUCAUCUGGUUGUUCAUCUGUAUCCUUUAUCAUAUCCUGUCAUAAACUGGUCAAGCCCCCCAGCAUGUGACUGUAUGUUUCAGUUGUGGGUCCUUCUAGUUGUGGCAUGUGGGACGCCGCCUCAGUAUGGCCUGAUGAGAAGCGCCAGUUCUGCGCCCAGGAUCCGAACCAGCAAAACCCUGGGCCACUGAAGCAGAUCAUGUGAACUUAACCACUCGGCCACGGGGCCGGCCCCAAGAAAUAACUUUUGAAAAUUUAAAACAUGCUUGCCAUAAUAAAACUUGCAAUAGAUGGUUUGGAAAAUAAACUUGGUGAAAUCUCCAGAAUGUGGAACAAAACGUCAAAAAGAAAAAUAUAUGAGAGGAAAGAGGCUACUUAAAGAAAUAAUUCAAGAAGUUCAACAUCCAAACAGUUGGCAUUCUGGAAAGAGGAAAGAGAAAAACAAAGGCAAAGGAGUUAUCAAAGAAAGAAUCAAAGAGAAUUUCCCAAGGGCAUGGGCUGGCCAUGUGGAGGCCCUACUGUAUGUCAUGUACCACGUGAUACCGGGGCUGUAAGAGACACAGUCCUGCCACAUGGUGCUGAGAGUCUUGGGAGACAGAGAGACAGAAACCAAGCAGUUGCACAAAUUAAUGUAAAAUUGCAACGAGAAUACACAUCACAAAGAAGGCUAUGGAAACUUAGGCCAGAGAAGGGUCUCUGAGACAGGGACAUCUGAGGCCAGAAGUAAUCAGGCAGGAGAGGGAGGGAGGAAUGUUUGGGGCAAGCGGAACAGCAUCUGCAAAGACAGUGUGGCCAGAGGGAGCAUGAUGAGCUUGAGGAGCUGAAAGAAGGCCUGUGAGCCUGGACUACCAAGAAGCUUCCUAGGUGUUGUGGUGGGUAAGGGGUUGGGCAGACCACACGGGGCUCUGAGGGCCCAAGAGCAGUAAGAAGCCAGGUCUUAGAAACCAAAGCAGGUCCCUAGGGAGAAAGGAAAUGCUUUCUAUUCCUUCUGGACACCAGGACCAAGAAACAAAGCACAAGUUAAACCCUCAGCAGCUACCUCUCCACUCUGGUACUUGGUGGGACAUCCAGGUCCCCUGGAAGAAGCGAAAUCCGGCCUGGCCCUGCAAACCACAAGGGGGUGCUGUGAGGCUCAAACCAGAGAAAGGCUAGCAACCUAUCCCUUAGACAAAAUCACAGGUACCCUUGUCCUAAAAGCUGGGAUGGAGGACUGGUGACUGAUGGGGUGAGCUGGAGGAGAGGUGCUCAGACUGGUGGAUGCACAUUUAGGCAGUUUCUACUUUCCAUGCAUGAGUGCCACUGCAAUGCAUACAUAUUUAUGCAUUCAUUUUGCACAUCUGAUUAUUUCUUUAGGAUCAAUUUCUAGAAAUGGAAUUUCUGGUGCAAACGGAAAGUUUUUAGGGCUUUCACCCUACAGCACAGUGGAACCAAUUUACAGCCCCAGCAGCAGAAUAACCUCCAGGUGAUUCACGUGCACAGCUAAAGUUUGAGAACUGCUUGAAAGGAGCCAGG